AAUGUUGGCUCUUAUGUAAGUGUUCCAGUCAAAAUUACACCGAUACGACACGCACUGUAGACUCUGGAAAUGAAAGUACGUGCAUUACCUUGGCCCAAAUUUUCGCAUUUCAAUCCGUAAGUACUGUAAACACUGAGAUAUCGCUUGU
rnacentral:lncRNA from 1 species